rnacentral:tRNA from 1 species
GGGGAAUUAGCUCAGUUUGGGAGAGCGCCUGAAUGGCAUUCAGGAGGUCGUGGGUUCGAGCCCCAUAUUCUCCACCA